rnacentral:rRNA from 1 species
CCUAUCCCUGUCGUGCCUUCGCCUCCACGACUCGGCCGCGUCGACGAACGCUGGCGGCGUGCCUAAUACAUGCAAGUAGAACGCUGAAGAGAGGAGCUUGCUCUUCUUGGAUGAGUUGCGAACGGGUGAGUAACGCGUAGGUAACCUGCCUUGUAGCGGGGGAUAACUAUUGGAAACGAUAGCUAAUACCGCAUAACAAUGGAUGACACAUGUCAUUUAUUUGAAAGGGGCAAUUGCUCCACUACAAGAUGGACCUGCGUUGUAUUAGCUAGUAGGUGAGGUAACGGCUCACCUAGGCGACGAUACAUAGCCGACCUGAGAGGGUGAUCGGCCACACUGGGACUGAGACACGGCCCAGACUCCUACGGGAGGCAGCAGUAGGGAAUCUUCGGCAAUGGGGCAAACCCUAGAACCGAAGACAAACGACCGACGUAGAAGUAGAAAGAAAGGUUUACGGAAUACGUAAAAGACUCUGUUGUAAGUCA